AGGUGCGAUCAUACCAGCACUAAUGCACCGGAUCCCCUCAAAACUCCGCAGUGAAGCGCGCUUGGGUGAGAGUAGUACUAGGUUGGGUGACCUCCUGGGAAGUCCUCGUAUUGCACUUC
rnacentral:rRNA from 1 species